UACGAAGGGGCUAGCGUUGCUCGGAAUCACUGGGCGUAAAGGGCGCGUAGGCGGCGUUUUAUGUCGGGGGUGAAAGCCUGUGGCUCAACCACAGAAUGGCCUUCGAUACUGGGACGCUUGAGUAUGGUAGAGGUUGGUGGAACUGCGAGUGUAGAGGUGAAAUUCGUAGAUAUUCGCAAGAACACCGGUGGCGAAGGCGGCCAACUGGACCAUUACUGACGCUGAGGCGCGAAAGCGUGGGGAGCAAACAGG
rnacentral:rRNA from 1 species